rnacentral:rRNA from 2 species
AAUCCAUAGGUUAAUGAGGCGAACCGGGGGAACUGAAACAUCUAAGUACCCCGAGGAAAAGAAAUCAACCGAGAUUCCCCCAGUAGCGGCGAGCGAACGGGGAGGAGCCCAGAGCCUGAAUCAGCAUGUGUGUUAGUGGAAGCGUCUGGAAAGGCGCGCGAUACAGGGUGACAGCCCCGUACACAAAAGCGCAUGUGCUGUGAGCUCGAUGAGUAGGGCGGGACACGUGGUAUCCUGUCUGAAUAUGGGGGGACCAUCCUCCAAGGCUAAAUACUCCUGACUGACCGAUAGUGAACCAGUACCGUGAGGGAAAGGCGAAAAGAACCCCGGCGAGGGGAGUGAAAAAGAACCUGAAACCGUGUACGUACAAGCAGUGGGAGCCCCACCACCAAAGCAUUUGCUGUACCGCGUUGACGGAGCGAAGCGACGUCAAACCGAUAAAACAGCAGUGUAAAGUGA